AGAAUAGUGAUAGAAAUUUAUUUUUGAAAAAGAGUGGAAAUUGGUUAGUAGAAUUAUUAGAUAUAUUCUAAUGCUUUUGUCAUUUUUCAAAAAUAACUGCUAUUAGUCAGCCCAAGAACUUCAACGCUCUGAUGACACAGAAAUUCCAUAAAAUGAUGUAAAAACUUCAAAGAGUUAGUGGAUAAGUAUUUGUUAAAUGUCAAUAGCACAAUGUUUAAUUUAUAGCAACUAGGUAAAAGGGAAGUUUGACCACUCUCUUUUAAUACAUACAAAAACCAGGCUAGCAUUUACCUUGAUCUGUGAUGUACCACAGUGGAAAAAAUAAGGAUGAAAUUAUUGAAUCUCAAGUUUAAGUUGCUUCAUCUAUCUGUUUUGUGUGAAUUUUGAGUAAGG
rnacentral:lncRNA from 1 species